rnacentral:rRNA from 1 species
GGCAGCGCGGGGCAACCUGGCGGCGAGUGGCGAACGGGUGAGUAAUAUAUCGGAACGUGCCCUGGAGUGGGGGAUAACGCAGCGAAAGUUGCGCUAAUACCGCAUACGAUCUAAGGAUGAAAGCGGGGGAUUCGCAAGAACCUCGUGCUCCUGGAGCGGCCGAUAUCUGAUUAGCUAGUUGGUGGGGUAAAGGCCUACCAAGGCAUCGAUCAGUAGCUGGUCUGAGAGGACGACCAGCCACACUGGAACUGAGACACGGUCCAGACUCCUACGGGAGGCAGCAGUGGGGAAUUUUGGACAAUGGGCGAAAGCCUGAUCCAGCAAUGCCGCGUGAGUGAAGAAGGCCUUCGGGUUGUAAAGCUCUUUUGUCAGGGAAGAAACGGUGAAGGCUAAUAUCCUUUGCUAAUGACGGUACCUGAAGAAUAAGCACCGGCUAACUACGUGCCAGCAGCCGCGGUAAUACGUAGGGUGCAAGCGUUAAUCGGAAUUACUGGGCGUAAAGCGUGCGCAGGCGGUUUUGUAAGUCUGUCGUGAAAUCCCCGGGCUCAACCUGGGAAUUGCGAUGGAGACUGCAAGGCUAGAAUCUGGCAGAGGGGGGUAGAAUUCCACGUGUAGCAGUGAAAUGCGUAGAGAUGUGGAGGAACACCGAUGGCGAANGCAGCCCCCUGGGUCAAGAUUGACGCUCAUGCACGAAAGCGUGGGGAGCAAACAGGAUUAGAUACCCUGGUAGUCCACGCCCUAAACGAUGUCUACUAGUUGUCGGGUUUUAAUUAACUUGGUAACGCAGCUAACGCGUGAAGUAGACCGCCUGGGGAGUACGGUCGCAAGAUUAAAACUCAAAGGAAUUGACGGGGACCCGCACAAGCGGNGGAUGAUGUGGAUUNAUUCGAUGCNACGCGAAAAACCUUACCUACCCNNGA